rnacentral:lncRNA from 1 species
AAUAACCUCAAAAAAAAGGGGCAUUUCUGCCCGAGGGGGACUCUGCUCCUUUGUUCAGUAACCAAAAAGGAUGUUUUGGUGGAAAAAAAGUGACGUUUUGAUAGAAAAAAAUGUAUUUUUCGUUCCUGCCAGAGGCUGUUUGGGUGCAGAAGGCCCUAAGAUGGCUUCCGGGGGCCAUUUCUGAAGAAAAAAGUGUCAUUUGGGGGGUGUUUUUGUGCUAAAAACGUGAAUUCUCAUUGCGAGGCAGCGAAUAGCCAUGUUAAAAGCAGAAUAAUUGGCUUUUUUUGCUGUGUAAUUUGUUUUUUUUUUUAGGCUGUGUAAGCAGGAAUGUGCAAGUCAUGGCUGCAGCCGUGGGGUUAAUCCCAGCCUGAAACGCGGCUUUGUGUGAUGGGAGGUUAAAAAAAAAAAAAAAAAAAAAGGGAAAUCUCAGCGGCCAGGAGCUUUUCUGCAGGGAGAUUUGAGGAUAAAACCCGCAGGUUUGGGUCAUUGGGACUCUCGGAAGUGCCGCAGUAGUAGCCUUGAACCGUCGGAUUUUGAGGGGAAAAAAAGGCAAAAAGAGGAAAAAACAAAACAAACAAAAAAAGGGGCGCUGGGUGUUUGGCAGCAAGGGAUCUUCGCGCAGAGCAAAACUGCAGGAAAUUGCCCCAAAACCGAGGCAGCGUGGACGCCCGACGAGAAAAGGCAGAGAGAGCCCGGCAGCAAAACAGCCCCAAAAACGUGUAGGAAAGGGAGCAGUGAUCAUAGGUAUUUGUGCUGCUUUUCACCCAAAACCGAGACCGGGGGGGGAGGGUUCUGAGUCCAGCCCCAAUUCUGCUGCUUUCCCCCAUUUCAUUUCAAAAUGGAAAAUGGGAGGUGCCCCAAAAUGGCUGAAAAUGCCCCAAAAAUGGCUGAAAGUGCCCCAAAAUGAGCGGCCAGCGUGGCCGGCUCUGUGCCCCGCAGCCGCGGGCUUUUCAAGGACAGAGCAGCUUUUUGGUCAGAGCGGUGCUUGGCACCAAGGCGGGGGGGGUUGGGUUUGUGCCCGUUUUCCCAGUUUUCCUCCCCAAAAUGGCAGCGGUGUGGGCGCGGUUUUGGGGGGGUUUGUUGUGUUUUGUUGUUUUUUGUUCUCCCCCCCUCCCCCCCUUUCGCUCUCCAUUGAGGCAGCGCCGCAACGACCAGGCCUAAAACGGCCCCAAAGAGGACACUUGCUAAAAAUGACU